rnacentral:lncRNA from 1 species
UGUUGUGGUUUUGCAGCAUCAGCCUUGGGAUAAUGGUGAAGAAGUGUUAGAGGAAUACAUAAUUUCAAUGAUGAGCUGCAGCAAUAUGCCUGCAGUAAAAAAUACAAUGAAGCUGGACCUCAGAAAAAAAUGAGAUUGUAUUCUAGGUGAUCCUUCUGCAGCUGUAUGUAUAUAUAGCAGACAAGGUAAGUAGCUGCCUCCCGAAUCACUUACUGAACGUGUGUGAAGAGCAAUACACAAAGAAAGCCUUCAAGUGUUCUCUAAAAGAUUCAGAAUGUUUUUGUUAGUUAUACAAGGCAUACCUGGCCUGGUUGUUUCAUUUCUUAUGUGCACGUUAGUUUUGAAUUAAAAAUGUGAAACACAUUUGAAGUCUAAAUUUAAAUGCUACGGACAGUAGAUAGCAAGGAUUCGUGCCCAGUGAGCCCAGCUAACUGCCAAUAUUCCCAAACAGAGUAAGAUUCACCAGCAUGAAGACAAGCAACAGAGGCACUUUUAUUACGAUCUGCAGAAAGGAUGCUAUGUACAGCACGGAUGCCACAAAUGUACAACCAUAGCAUACAAGGAGCCUUCAUUUGUAUUACCAGGCCUCCAUAAUUGUCCACAUGGAUGAAGUACCAUAUUUCACCAAAUCUAAGGUGCACCUUUUUCCCAUUUUAGGGGUUCCAAAAACGGGUGCAUCUUAGAUUCA